rnacentral:rRNA from 1 species
GAGGACGCUUACCACUUUGUGGUUCAUGACUGGGGUGAAGUCGUAACAAGGUAGCGCUAGGGGAACCUGGCGCUGGAUCACCUCCUUA